rnacentral:misc_RNA from 1 species
CCAAUAGCGUAUAUUAAAGUUGCUGCAGUUAAAAAGCUCGUAGUUGAAUUUCGGGACCAAUAUGUCGGUCGUGCUUCGGUACGUACUGUCAUUAUUGGUUUCUCCCUUCUGAAGAACCUUGAUGUCAUUAAUUUGGUGUCUUGGGGCAUCAGGACUGUUACUUGGAAAAAAUUAGAGUGUUUAAAGCAGGCUCGCGCUGGAAUACAUUAGCAUGGAAUAAUGAAAUAGGACGUUUGAUUCUAUUUUGUUGGUUUCUAGGAUCGACGUAAUGAUUAAUAGGGAUAGUUGGGGGCAUUAGUAUUCAAUUGUCAGAGGUGAAAUUCUUGGAUUUAUUGAAGACUAACUACUGCGAAAGCAUUUGCCAAGGAUGUUUUCAUUAAUCAAGAACGAAAGUUAGGGGAUCGAAGACGAUCAGAUACCGUCGUAGUCUUAACCAUAAACUAUGCCGACUAGGGAUCGGACGGUGGUUUUUUUAUGCCCCGUUCGGCACCUUCCG